GUAGACCCUACGCUGAACAGACUACCCAGGUUUUCUUCUCCCUACAGGUCACGGAGCAAUACCCCUACGGUCUCGAGGCGGGACCAGGCGGAUGGGAGUCGGCGACAACAAGACACUCCGGUACCUGUAGAGGUGGACGGAAGGACGGCGCCCCUGCGGCCAGCUGCGGCCAGGGGCUUGAGCGGUGAGUCCACACAUGCACGACACUCAGG